UGCUCCAGGCUACGCUAUAUAGCUCCUUCACACGUAUAAAACGGGAGGACCUGGCCAGGACCGUACCACCAGAUACCCUACUUUUAUUCGAAUUUUUUACCCCGCCUGAUGGUCAAUACGGUAGUGCCAUCUUAACUGGCCUUUGCUAACCCCUCCAGUUUUUGGAAGUGAUUUGGUAAAGCGAGUCUUUGGUGUCGGAUAUUAUAUAAACCAAACAAAUUUGUCAAAUACUUGUAUCUCACUUGAGAAGUAAUACACAAGGAAGAUAUUAGAAAUUUCCUGAAAUCUUUCUUGAUAACUAAGUAGACUCAGACGCUGAAGGAUUGUCAAAGUCGAUACAUGAUAGAGUUCGAGAUAUACGUUUACAUACGGAGAAGAUAACACCGGAUGUUUGAAAGACGACAAGGCGAUGAAUUUCCGGCGAGACAGAUACCGUACAACGAAAUAAAUCAAACAUCCUACAACUAUGCAAUUCCUGCAUUGGUAGGAAUGAUGGGAGCCAAGUAAUAGAAAGUAUACGAAAAACAUAACCUCCAUCUUCAAUUUUUCGAAGCGGAAGCAAAAUCAAUUAUUGCUCGAGCACAGAAAAAUUGCUGGUCGAUCAAGUCAGUCGACAGCUGUUGGUGAAUGGAAACUCAAAUUGCGAUCACUAUUUUCCAAUAAUCGAUGUGUCGAAAGCAAAACACGCGGGCUUUAUGAAUUUUGUGAGGAUAAUUGCAAACGCGUUCUUUCUAAUCUUAAAAUAUUCGAUCGUUAAUUGUAACAAUAAGAUUCAAAUAUUAAUAACCAUGGAAUUUCUGCGACAAGAGAAUAUUUAAACUGGGCGAUUGCCGAUGAAGUUGGUUUACCCAGGGAAAGCAGAAGACUUGUUCGUACUUGCAGAGGAGUGUCUGGCGUGCUUCUCCAGCCGAACUUCCUGGACGAAAUUUCAACCGAUUAGAUUUCGUUCGGUUCUGGUACGAGAGAGAUCGAAUCUCCGGCAAAGGGAGCAGAAACGGUUCAUUAGGCGCGUAACAGAGCAAAUACAUACUUCGAGAAGAACAUGGAAGACAAAGUGUACCUGGGUAAAUGAGAAAAUAAGUGCGUUCGCAUGAAAGAAGAAAGGAAGAGGCUGUAGUUCGAAGUGGUAGCUUGCUUUCGAAUUAUGUUUUACGCUUGAUAGAUUGUGUCUGAAUCGUAUCACCGGAAAAUUUGGCGGUAAGUUGUGCUUGGCGUUGUCGUCUCUUCCAUGAGUUCUAUAGCUGUCCUUUUUGUCUCGCCUGAUAUGUUUGUAAGAAUAUGCUGCGUUUGAAACUUCAAAGUCACUGUUUUCUUCUAUUUUGUCUUUUAGAUUUUCAAUUUUCAUUUCAUUCAGAAAUAUUCGUAAACGGACAAAGUAUGUACAUACAUCAACCCGUAACUUCUUUCAAAAUAUUCCUAUGCAUG